rnacentral:rRNA from 1 species
UACAGAGGGGGCGAGCGUUGUUCGGAAUUACUGGGCGUAAAGGGCGCGUAGGCGGCCAACUAAGUCAGACGUGAAAUCCCUCGGCUCAACCGGGGAACUGCGUCUGAUACUGGAUGGCUUGAAUUCGGGAGAGGGAUGCGGAAUUCCAGGUGUAGCGGUGAAAUGCGUAGAUAUCUGGAGGAACACCGGUGGCGAAGGCGGCAUCCUGGACCAACACUGACGCUGAGGAGCGAAAGCCAGGGGAGCAAACGGG